rnacentral:rRNA from 1 species
GACGAACGCUGGCGGCGUGCCUAAUACAUGCCAGUAGAACGCUGAAGGAAGGAGCUUGCUCUUUCUGGAUGAGUUGCGAACGGGUGAGUAACGCGUAGGUAACCUGCCUGGUAGCGGGGGAUAACUAUUGGAAACGAUAGCUAAUACCGCAUAAAAUUGAUUAUUGCAUGAUAGUCAAUUAAAAGGUGCAACUGCACCACUACCAGAUGGACCUGCGUUGUAUUAGCUAGUUGGUGGGGUAACGGCUCACCAAGGCGACGAUACAUAGCCGACCUGUGAGGGUGAUCGGCCACACUGGGACUGAGACACGGCCCAGACUCCUACGGGAGGCAGCAGUAGGGAAUCUUCGGCAAUGGACGGAAGUCUGACCGAGCAACGCCGCGUGAGUGAAGAAGGUUUUCGGAUCGUAAAGCUCUGUUGUAAGAGAAGAACGAGUGUGAGAGUGGAAAGUUCACACUGUGACGGUAUCUUACCAGAAAGGGACGGCUAACUACGU